GAUGAACGCUGGCGGCGUGCCUAAUACAUGCAAGUCGAGCGAAUGGAUUGAGAGCUUGCUCUUAUGAAGUUAGCGGCGGACGGGUGAGUACCACGUGGGUAACCUGCCCAUAAGACUGGGAUAACUCCGGGAAACCGGGGCUAAUACCGGAUAACAUUUUGAACCGCAUGGUUCGAAAUUGAAAGGCGGCUUCGGCUGUCACUUAUGGAUGGACCCGCGUCGCAUGAGCUAGUUGGUGAGGUAACGGCUCACCAAGGCAACGAUGCGUAGCCGACCUGAGAGGGUGAUCGGCCACACUGGGACUGAGACACGGGCCAGACUCCUACGGGAGGCAGCAGUAGGGAAUCUUCCGCAAUGGACGAAAGUCUGACGGAGCAACGCCGCGUGAGUGAUGAAGGCUUUCGGGUCGUAAAACUCUGUUGUUAGGGAAGAACAAGUGCUAGUUGGAUAAGCUGGCACCUUGACGGUACCUAACCAGAAAGCCACGGCUAACUACGUGCCAGCCGCCGCGGUAA
rnacentral:rRNA from 1 species